rnacentral:rRNA from 1 species
GAUGAACGCUAGCUACAGGCUUAACACAUGCAAGUCGAGGGACCGGCGCACGGGUGAGUAAACCGUAUCCAACCUGCCCUUUACUCGGGGCUAGCCUUUCGAAAGACAGAUUAAUACCCGAUAUAAAGGAUGGGGAUGCUUUCCAUUGGGUUGUGGGUGAGGUAACGGCCAACCAAGCCUUCGAUGGAAAGGGGUGCGGAGAGGAAGGUCCCCCACCUUGGAACUGAGACACGGUCCAAACUCUGACGGGAGGUAGCAGUGAGUAGUAUUGGUCAAGGGGUCUUAGUCUGAACCAGCCAAGUAGCUGGAAGGAUGAAGGCGUAUGGGUCGUAAACUUCUGUGAUAUAAGAAGAUGUAUUAUAUGAAUAAGGAUCGGCUAACUCCGUGCCAGCAGCCGCGGUAAUAC